AUUGAACGCUGGCGGCAUGCUUUACACAUGCAAGUCGAACGGUAACAGGGUGCUUGCACCGCUGACGAGUGGCGAACGGGUGAGUAAUGCGUCGGAACGAGCCGAGUAGUGGGGGAUAACGCAGCGAAAGUUGUGCUAAUACCGCAUACGUACUGAGGUAGAAAGUGGGGGACCUUCGGGCCUCACGCUAUUCGAGCGGCCGACGCCUGAUUAGCUAGUAGGCGAGGGAAAGUCUCACCUAGGCGACGAUCAGUAGCGGGUCUGGGAGGAUGACCGUCCACACUGGAACUGAGACUCGUGCCAGACUCCUACGGGAGGCAGUAGUGGGGAAUUUUGGACAAUGGGCGCAAGCCUGUUCCAGCAAUGCCGCGUGCAGGAUGAAGGCCCUCGAGUUGUAAACUGCUUUUGUACGAAACGAAACGGCCCUUUCUAAUACAGGGGGCUAAUGACGGUACCGUAAGAAUAAGCACCGGCUAACUACGUGCCAGCCGCCGCCGUAA
rnacentral:rRNA from 1 species